GAACGCUAGCUACAGGCUUAACACAUGCAAGUCGAGGGGCAGCAUGGUCUUAGCUUGCUAAGGCCGAUGGCGACCGGCGCACGGGUGAGUAACACGUAUCCAACCUGCCGUCUACUCUUGGACAGCCUUCUGAAAGGAAGAUUAAUACAAGAUGGCAUCAUGAGUCCGCAUGUUCACAUGAUUAAAGGUAUUCCGGUAGACGAUGGGGAUGCGUUCCAUUAGAUAGUAGGCGGGGUAACGGCCCACCUAGUCUUCGAUGGAUAGGGGUUCUGAGAGGAAGGUCCCCCACAUUGGAACUGAGACACGGUCCAAACUCCUACGGGAGGCAGCAGUGAGGAAUAUUGGUCAAUGGGCGAGAGCCUGAACCAGCCAAGUAGCGUGAAGGAUGACUGCCCUAUGGGUUGUAAACUUCUUUUAUAAAGGAAUAAAGUCGGGUAUGGAUACCCGUUUGCAUGUACUUUAUGAAUAAGGAUCGGCUAACUCCGUGCCAGCAGCCGCGGUAAUACGGAGGAUCCGAGCGUUAUCCGGAUUUAUUGGGUUUAAAGGGAGCGUAGAUGGAUGUUUAAGUCAGUUGUGAAAGUUUGCGGCUCAACCGUAAAAUUGCAGUUGAUACUGGAUAUCUUGAGUGCAGUUGAGGCAGGCGGAAUUCGUGGUGUAGCGGUGAAAUGCUUAGAUAUCACGAAGAACUCCGAUUGCGAAGGCAGCCUGCUAAGCUGCAACUGACAUUGAGGCUCGAAAGUGUGGGUAUCAAACAGGAUUAGAUACCCUGGUAGUCCACACGGUAAACGAUGAAUACUCGCUGUUUGCGAUAUACUGCAAGCGGCCAAGCGAAAGCGUUAAGUAUUCCACCUGGGGAGUACGCCGGCAACGGUGAAACUCAAAGGAAUUGACGGGGGCCCGCACAAGCGGAGGAACAUGUGGUUUAAUUCGAUGAUACGCGAGGAACCUUACCCGGGCUUAAAUUGCAGAUGAAUUACGGUGAAAGCCGUAAGCCGCAAGGCAUCUGUGAAGGUGCUGCAUGGUUGUCGUCAGCUCGUGCCGUGAGGUGUCGGCUUAAGUGCCAUAACGAGCGCAACCCUUGUUGUCAGUUACUAACAGGUUCCGCUGAGGACUCUGACAAGACUGCCAUCGUAAGAUGUGAGGAAGGUGGGGAUGACGUCAAAUCAGCACGGCCCUUACGUCCGGGGCUACACACGUGUUACAAUGGGGGGUACAGAGGGCCGCUACCACGCGAGUGGAUGCCAAUCCCCAAAACCUCUCUCAGUUCGGACUGGAGUCUGCAACCCGACUCCACGAAGCUGGAUUCGCUAGUAAUCGCGCAUCAGCCACGGCGCGGUGAAUACGUUCCCGGGCCUUGUACACACCGCCCGUCAAGCCAUGGGAGCCGGGGGUACCUGAAGUGCGUAACCGCGAGGAGCGCCCUAGGGUAAAACUGGUGACUGGGGCUAAGU
rnacentral:rRNA from 1 species